rnacentral:rRNA from 1 species
UACGUAGGGUGCAAGCGUUGUCCGGAAUUAUUGGGCGUAAAGAGCUCGUAGGCGGUCUGUUACGUCUGCUGUGAAAACCCAGGGCUUAACCCUGGGCUUGCAGUGGAUACGGGCAGACUAGAGGCAGGUAGGGGAGAAUGGAAUUCCCGGUGUAGCGGUGGAAUGCGUAGAGAUCGGGAAGAACAUCGGUGGCGAAGGCGGUCUGCUGGGCCGUUGCUGACGCUGAGGCGCGACAGCGUGGGGGAGCAAACAGG